rnacentral:lncRNA from 1 species
UCCCCGAUCAAAAUGAUCGGGGACGGGGAACACAAUCCCUGCCUCGUCCCCGUACCCGCUCACCCCUAGCAGCAACAGGUGAAACCUUGAAGGAGUCCGUGCCAUCGAUGUCGUGGAAUUGGGAUCUCACGGUCGUUCUCACUUCUGGAUGCCAUACCGAAAAAUUUGGAAAUCCUUCUCGUCAACGCACAUAUUCCCAUGGCUAGCGGCAAACUACUCAUAGGGGCAUGGGCUUCGACGCGCCUUACCGCUUGUGUCGGAUACGUACGGUGUGAGAAUGUCAACAUCGGACACCCCGGUCAUACUCCGGACGUACACUGGUCGUCCUCCGACACGACACCUGGAGUCCUACACGCCGUCCGAAAAUCAACGAUGUAGACAAUUAAGGUAUGUCCGAGCUCCUUUCCAUCAGACGAGCCAUACUUCUCGAUGAUCGCCAGACUACCGACCUAUGCACGCGACGAUCGAUGACAGCCGAUUCCAUCAUCAAACUCGGUAUGGGUCUUCCUCUAUUUAAACAAUCGCUUGAGCAAUACAUUUCUUCAUAGAUUCAGCGAACGAUCUUCACAAUCAUCUUCACCUGACACGUACAACAUCAUCUCAAGGUUCGUAACUUCAAAAAAUUUCUUCUACGGUGGUUCUUCUCAUACAUGGUUUUAGUUCCUUACCUGAUGGCAUGUCGCACGGAACUCACUCAUGUCGUUCCAAAACGGACCCUAUUUUAUAUUAAUGUAAAUUAUUAUUUGGAUUUUUUACAUUAUUGAGAUUUGAAACAGACUCUAAAUUCCUAAUAUUUAAUAAAAAUUUAAAAUAAUCCC